rnacentral:rRNA from 1 species
AGGCUGCAGUGGGGAAUUUUGGACAAUGGGGGCAACCCUGAUCCAGCCAUGCCGCGUGAGUGAAGAAGGCCUUCGGGUUGUAAAGCUCUUUCGGACGGAAAGAAAUCGCGCAGGUGAAUAAUCUGCGUGGAUGACGGUACCGUAAGAAGAAGCACCGGCUAACUACGUGCCAGCAGCCGCGGUAAUACGUAGGGUGCGAGCGUUAAUCGGAAUUACUGGGCGUAAAGCGUGCGCAGGCGGCUUUGUAAGACAGGUGUGAAAUCCCCGGGCUUAACCUGGGAAUGGCGCUUGUGACUGCAAGGCUUGAGUGCGGCAGAGGGGGGUGGAAUUCCACGUGUAGCAGUGAAAUGCGUAGAGAUGUGGAGGAACACCGAUGGCGAAGGCAGCCCCCUGGGUCGACACUGACGCUCAUGCACGAAAGCGUGGGGAGCAAACAGGAUUAGAUACCCUUGUAGUC